rnacentral:lncRNA from 1 species
CAAAUAGGCAGAUAGCCAAGUAGUAGAUUGUACAGAUAAUUUGGCAUUUAUCUGCCAUUAUUUGAAUAAACUAUUGUAUCCCAGCUCCAAGUAAGAUAGGCAGCAUCAAGAACUAUUUUAAGUUGAAACCUAGCAGUCUUUUGGAGGUGUGUUUGCAAACUUCCACGAUGCUUUAUCAAAGCCUUCCGGGUCUCUGUCUCCUGCUACCUCUUCUAUGGGCACAGCGUCAGAAAUUUCUUUCAGAUCCUCUUUUGUAAGUUUAAUCCUCAAGGAGUCAAUAUUGUCAUCAAGGUUUUUCAUCUUAGUUGUCCCUGAAAAUUGAAGCAACUUAACAGUAAGUAAUAUUGCUGGUAAUAUCUUUUUAUCCGCUGGGUUUUUUAAACUCUAUAUACUUCUUCAAGGUAAUACAUGAAUCAAAAACUCGAAAGAAAGAAGUUACCGGGAAUAGGUACGACAUCAUCCCCCUGUCCAAGAACCCAUGCUAGGGCUAGUUGAGCAGAAGUGCAAUUGUACUUUUUGGCAAGGUUCUCUAUGCGAAAAUAAAUACUCUUGUUCCUGUCCAGGUUCUCUCCUUUGAACCUAGGAAGAAAAUGCUUAUAAAACAAAUACAUGUAUCAUUUUCAUAUGUACGACGAUAUAUAAAACAGUUAAAGAAACUGUAAGACUACUUUUGCUAGUUUAAAACAUUUUAUAUAGUACUGACUUAGGAAACAAAAUGAUGCGGAUAAACAUUGAUCGGAAAAAGUACCAAAAAGCUAUCUGCAGGUACACUCUCCACAACAGCUUUGCCACCAAAAAAUCCAUGACCAAGAGGACUGUAUGGAACUAUUCCAAUGCCGAGUUCCCUGCCCACCUCAAUGUAUCAGAAGGGCAGCCUUGUAUUUAUUAGCAUACACUUGCACAGAAAAUCUAAUCUACUCUAUGCAUGCAAUUAAAUUUAAAAAAUUCUACAAACAUUAGGUACAAAAUACUAGAUUGGAACAAAUAAAUAGGUCCUUAGACACUCUUCAAAGGCCUGUAGAAGAAAAGACUAAUGCGGAUAGUAUUCACUGAAAGAAGAACAAACCUGCAGAGGGGUAUUAUCUCUUCCUCAAUAUCACGAGUCCAGAGGGACCAUUCCAUUUGUACAGCUGUGAUGGGAUGAACAGCAUGUGCUCUCCUAAUUGUGUCUGGGCUGGCCUCAGAUAAUCCAAUGUACUUGAUUUUACCCUCUUCCACCAGCUUCUUCAUUUCACCAAUCUAUAGCAUGACAAGUAAUAGAGUUUCUAAAAUAAUUCUUUAAAUUUUGCAAUUUGGGACAGAACUCUACAAUUCAGAUAGCCCAAAAAAAAAAAAAAAAAAAAAAAAAAAAAAAAAAAAAAAAAAAAAAAAAAAAAAAAAAAAAAAAAAAAAAAAAAAAAAAAAAAAAAAAAAAAAAAACCUUUUCUCUGGGCAACAUCUUGAAGGCCUGAAAUCGAAGGAGUACUCUUUUUUUUUUUUUUUUUAAUUCAAUAAGAUUCAAAAAAAUCCGACGAGGUUUCACCAAUUCCUAAACAAACAUAUUUCAUCAGGACUGUGAUUCUUAAGUUAUCACUUGACCUAUGUCCGAAUUAUAUAAGAGGUAAGAGAAUUCAAAGAAAUGACUCUAACCUUUCCCAGAAGAAUUUCAUUAGCAUUUUGUCCGUACACAUCAGCAGUAUCAAAGAAAGUGAUUCCUUUACUGAAAGCAUGUUUUAUCAUUGAGAUGCCAUCCUCUUCUGAGACUGGAGAGCUAUAACCAGAACUCAGGUUCAUGCAUCCAAGCCCCAACUUUGAAACCUGUAAGAGCGUGAAAAACACACAAUUGUAGAAAACAAAUUUCCAGGAUUUGAUUUUAAAAAAAAAAUUACAUAUGGGUAGUUUACCUCGAGGCCUUGGGUACCAAGUUUCACUCUUGGAACUUGGAGUUUCUCUUCUGCCAUUUUUGAAGCUGUAGUUUUGGUUUCUUUGUUUUGGGUGUCUUUCAAGUUUCAAUAAGUAGAGAGACAGUUGACUCUAACGUCAACAAUGAGCAGAAUGAGACAGAGGAUUCUGGUUUGGCUCCAAGUCGAAGGCUCCGUAUGACUAAAAGUGUUAAGCUGGGACACGUGCUCUUUAUCUUUAUCAUGAUUAAUCAUGAACUUAUAAAGUUUUGACAAGUGUCCCAAAGUUCAGUGUAAUUGGAAACAAGUUCAAAAUAUUUUAAAAGUUAAGAAAUAUCCCCUAGACUUUGCAAAAUGUCAGUUAGAACUUAGGAGAGAAAUUUACAGUCUCGAUUUGACCAUAUAAUAUAUUGUGUCACCAAGUUUUAAUUUUGUUUCCUCUCACUUUCAUGGUUGGUCAACUUCAAAAUGGAUAUAUAUUACAAUUCUAUUGCAUAAACGUAUGAUAACAUGGUACGUUAGUGUCAUAAAAAACUUUCUCUAAUAACAUAAAUUAUAUAUGUGCCACGACGUUAUUUUAAUUGAACGAAAUUUGAACACAAUAGUGUAUAUUCCGUAGUUUCUAUUUGUUCUUGUGGCAAAUUUUAGGCUCCUAUGUUACCCUUGAAUGCAAAUGCAAUGGCUUUGUGUCUUCUUUGAUUGAGGGCUCAUGCCGACCUCAUAAUACAAGCAAUGUAAAGACCAUUAACUAUUCAUAAUAGUUUGAAUGUCAAGUAUCUAAACUUUUUAGAACAAUAUUUGAAUAGUCACUGCAUCAGAACCCAAAACUCCAAAAGGAGGUAGGAACAAAUUCAUCUUUUAAUUUAGGAGAUUAUUUACUAGAAAUAGCCUUAAGCGUUUACAUUUGAUUCGGUACAUGGCAGUUAUGUAGCAACAACAUAGCAAUCUGAAUUAAAAUACAUAAAAGCCACCCUGCAUUUUCCUGGUGGAUUUUGCAAUCUCUAUUUGCCAAAAUUUUAUUGCAACUUGAGGCUAUAACUUCUAGUUAACAACGAAAGAUAAUUUCAGUUCACAAAAUCGGCAGAAUUAAAUUUACAAAUUUCCAUCCAAUAGGCAGAGAGUCAUGUAGUAGAAUUUAUUGAUAAUUUAGCAUUUAUUUGAAUAAAGUAUUGAUCCCGACCCCAAGCGUUAGAUAGCUACUAAGGCAGCAUCAAGAAAUAUUUUGAGUUCAAACCUAGCAAUCUUUUAGGGGUGUGUUUGCAAAGAAAUUUGAACGUAUCUUAACUUGUAAUUUCUCUCCUCUUUAAAAACUUAGCAUUCUUAUUCGAUUAUGAUUUUACUUCAUUAUUUGCUUAUUUUUACUUUUAUUUCAUUUUUGUUUCAGAUUACAUCUAUGAAUAUCCCCUUAAAUUGGAACAUUUAAUCUCUUGCUACCAACUUGGCUAGGCUAUCCUUGGACGAUAUGUUGAAACUUAAUGUUGCAGACUAGUUCAAUCAAUUUUCUAAAAAAAAUUAAUAAUUUUAUCAAUUUUCUAAUUAUUUAUCAGUUAAAUGUAUACUUUUAUGCUCAUUUUUUAACCUUAACAAAAACAAAAACUUCUGCGCCAUAAUUUUAGUUGAGUAAUGGAUUUGUAUUUCUUAGCCUAUGAAGAUGAGAAUCAAUUUUGUUGCAUCAAUAUAAAUCUAUACUGAAAAUUCAAGUAUUGUGUAUGUCAUUAGUCCGAUCAUUUGUUGUAACUAUUCAAGUAUUAUACUUGAAAAAAAAAAAUUGUUUGGGCCCAAGGCUCUAAGUAGAAAUGAAAAAUUCAUUUUCAUAUUUAUAUUAUGGUAACAUAAUCCUUUCACAUUUGAUUUAUGAGAAUCUCUUCCUCUCAAGCAUUUUGUGCUGUUAGAAAAUCAGUAAAAUUUUUUAUUUAAAGAAUCAUCAUAUUCAUAAUUUCUCCUUGUCAUUUUUUUUUAUAUUAAUCACGAGGUAUCCUGGGGAGGGCCCCAACUGUGGGAGGCACCUUUAAGCCCGUACCACAACUCAGACUAGAAGUCCCCGCUCGAACCGGGAGGCACAGAUUCUCCCAACAAAGGCGACUUCCCUGAACUCCAUUGGGAGCAAACCCAGUCAAGCCACUUAAGGGAACUCCAUUGCCAGUGGAGCCAACACUUUGUUGGUCAUUUUUUUUUUUUUUUUUAAUUUUGAAAGAAAGUUAUCUAUGUAUGUAUUCUUUGCAAAUUUAUUUGUUUUUAGUGAAAGCAUAUAUAGAAAUUACCCAAAAGAUUAGAGGAAAGUCAAACCAAUUAAUAAUCAAAUCAAGGUGCUUCAAGCUUGCUUCACGACAAAACAGAGUACAUACUCAGGGGUAUCUAUUUCUGUAAUCCCAAACUUUGUGGCUGAUCUUGUAACCUAGGCAACUGCUUCAAGGCUAGAAACUAGAAAGGAGUGAACUUUUUCCCCCCCAAAUAAAUUGACAUAAUUUUAACAAUGAUUUGAUUUCCACCUUAUGAUUUUCUUAGUAAUGUCUAAGAGUAGCUAUUUACCAUUACCUUAAACAAACAUAUUUCUUAUUUGCAUGGAAAAAUUACAGAUUCCUUCCUCAAGUAUAAGUUAGAAAUACUACUUACUCCUUUAAAUUUAAUAAUGCUACAAUCAACUCUUACCCUAACAAUUUAAGCUAUUUUAUAAUAAGAAGUCCAUAUUACUCCUAAUUAAUUUAAUUUAUUUUACAAACGUUAAGUAUUCAUCAAAAUAAAAUAUAUUUUUGUGUGUAAUACGGCAACAUCAUCCUUGUUAAGUUAAUUUAAUUACUAAUUUAUAUUUUUUUAUUUAAAUUUUUGGCAUAAACAUAACCUAUUUGUAUUUUGGAUUUUCUUUUAAAAUGUUAUUCCAUGAUAAGAUAACUUCAUUUUAUUCCAUUUUCUUAAUCAUUACCUUUCUAAGAAGAAUUUCAUUAGUAUAUAUGGUCCAUAUCUAUCAGCAGUAUCAAAGAAAGUGAUUCCUUUGUUGAAAGCAUGCUUCAUUAUUGAGAUGCCAUCCUCUUCAGAGACCCGAGAAUUGUAACCUCCGCUCAGGCUCAUGCAUCCAAACCCCAGCUUUGAAACCUGUGAAAGCACAAAAACACAGUCAGAGAAAACAAAUUAUCAGCAUUGAAGGAAAAAAAUACAAAAAGAAAAAUGAAAACUACAAAUCGGAAAUCCAAAUUUCACUCUUGGAACUUGGAUUCUGUUCUUUUCUGCCAUCUUUGGAAAAGCUGUUAGCUUUUCCUCUCUUUGUAGCUUAGCUUAACUCUUAUUAAAGGAGGGCGUAAGAGAGUUAAUGGUGUUGCUGUUUUGUACUUUGUACCAUGGACUAACAAAAUAAAGCAGGAUUUGGAACUAAUCAAAAGAAGGCAACAAUAAAAAUUAUUCGAAGGUGGGGCUAAUUACUAUACCUGGGUCUGUUACGUGGCAGGGUAUUAUUCUACCACAAGACCACUGGUGCCUUGUUGGUGAAGGAAUUUGAAAGUUUUUUAAUGUGUCAAUUUAGCCUCCUGAAUGGUAUUGUGAACUUCACAAUUUAUGCAAUUAUUCUUAUUUCUGAACAACACAUACUCACCUUUUAUCAUUUAACCACUCAAGUUGCAGUGACAAUGUAGUAUGUUGAGAAACUAUAUUUUCAAUCCAGUGUCCUCCAGGUCUUGUUGAGAAACAGCUUGAGCUAAAAUAUGGUUCACAGAUUUCAUUCAUGUCACAUUCGUGGAACUCAAAAAGGCUGAAAAUAUUUCAACAUAUAUCUACACUAUGAUGAAGUAAAAUCCAGGAAAAUCAUUACAAUCCAAAAUUUGGAUAUUUCUAAUCUUUAUUUUCAAGGAAAGCAAGUUGGCAAGAUUUUAUAGUAACUUGGAAUUCAGCUUUAACUUAGAAAAGUUCAAACAUGCGUAUUUUCCUUUCACAAAUUGGCCAUGCUAAAUUUCCAAACAUAUAGUAGAUCGUAAUAAUCAAAGUUUAACAUCAAAUAGGCAGAUAGCCAAGUAGUAGAUUGUACAGAUAAUUUGGCAUUUAUCUGCCAUUAUUUGAAUAAAGUAUUGCAUCCCAGCCCCAAGUAAGAUAGGCAGCAUCCAGAACUAUUUUAAGUUCAAACCUUGCAGUCUUUUGGAGGUGUGUUUGCAAACUUCCACGAUGCUUUAUCAAAGCCUUCCGGGUCUCUGUUUCCUGCUACCUCUUCUAUGGGCACAGCGUCAGAAAUUUCUUUCAGAUCCUCUUUUGUAAGUUUAAUCCUCAAGGAGUCAAUAUUGUCAUCAAGGUUUUUCAUCUUAGUUGUCCCUGAAAAUUGAAGCAACUUAACAGUAAGUAAUAUCGCUGGUAAUAUCAUUUUAUCCACUGGGUUUUUUAAACUCUAUAUACUUCUUCAAGGGUUCUCUCCUUUGAACCUAGGAAGAAAAUGCUUAUAAAACAAACACACGUAUCAUUUUCAUAUAUACUACGAUAUAUAAAACAGUAGCAUUAAAAGAAACUGUAAAACUACUUUUGUUAGUUUAAAACAUUUAUAUAGUACUGACUGAGGAAACAAAAUGAUGCGGAUAAACAUUGACCGAAAAAAGUACCAAAAAGCUAUCUGCAGGUACAUUCUCCACAACAGCUUUGCCACCGAAAAAUCCACGACCAAGAGGACUGUAUGGAACUAUUCCAAUGCCGAGUUCCCUGCCCACCUCAAUGUAUCAGAAGGACAGCCUUGUAUUUAUUAGCAUACACUUGCACAUAAAAUCUAAUCUAUUCUAUGCACGCAACUAAAUUUAAAAAAUUAUACAAACAUUAGGUACGAAAUACUAGAUUGGAACAAAUAAAUAGGCCCUUAGACACUCUUCAAAGGCCUGUAGAAGAAAAGACUAAUGCGGAUAGUGUUCACUGAAAGAAGAACAAACCUGCAGAGGGGUAUUAUCUCUUCCUCAAUAUCACGAGUCCAGAGGGACCAUUCCAUUUGUACAGCUGUGAUGGGAUGAACAGCAUGUGCUCUCCUAAUUGUGCCUGGGCUGGCCUCAGAUAAUCCAAUGUACUUGAUUUUACCCUCUUCCACCAGCUUCUUCAUUUCGCCAAUCUAUAACAUGACAAGUAAUAGAGUUUCUAAAAUAAAUCUUCAAAUUUUGCAAUUUGGGACAGAACUUUACAAUUCAGAUAUCCCCCAAAAAAAAAAAAAUUCGCUCACGGUUUCCUCUAUGGGGACUGAUGUGUCCACUCUAUGUUGAUAAUAUAGAUCAAUGUAAUCCACAUCAAGGCGCUUCAAGCUAGCUUCACAACACGAGCGCACAUAAUCAGGGGCACCCUUCACGAUCACACCAGCAACUCCUAUUCCUGCAAUCCCAAACUUUGUUGCUACUUGCAUCUUUUCUCUAGGCAACUGCUUCAAGGCCUGAAAUGAAAAGGAGUGAAUUAUUUUUCCAAUAAAUUCACAAUAUUCUGAUAAUGAUUUCCAUCCUAUGAUAUCCACAAUAGUACCCAAAAGUAGCUAUUUACCAAUUCCCUUAACAAAAAUAUUUCAUUAUUAGCAUAAAAUAUUUCAUUAUUAGUAUUGUGAUCCUUGUAUUGUCAACGAGUUAUAAGAAAAAUUUCUCGAAUCUUAGUAACCAUCAUACUCCUUAAGUUACCACUUGAUCUAUGUGUGAAUUGUAUAUAAUUAAAUUUAUCAUACAGAAACGUUGUUAAGAAAAUUGCAACAGAAAACCAUAACCUUUCCAAGAAGAACUUCAUUAGCAUUUUGUCCGUACACAUCAGCAGUAUCAAAGAAAGUGAUUCCUUUACUGAAAGCAUGCUUUAUCAUUGAUAUGCCAUCCUCUUCUGAGACUGGAGAGCUAUAACCUCCACUCAGGUUCAUGCAUCCAUAACCCAAUUUUGAAACCUGUAAAAGCAUGCAAAACACACAAUCAUAGAAAACAAAUUUUCAGGACCUUUUUUGAAAAAAUGAAAAUUACAAAUGGGUUGUUUACCUCAAGGCCUUGGGUACCCAAUUUCACUCUUGGAACUUGGUGUUUCUCUUCUGCCAUUUUUGAGGCUGUAGUUUGGCUUCUUUGUUUCAAUGUCUUUCAAUGAGGAGAGAUGGUUGACUUUAACUUGAGCAAUGAGCAGAAUGAGACAAAGAGGAUUGUGGCUCGGCUCCAACUCCAAGGUUGUGUCUUGACAAGGGCUAAGCUGGAAUAUGUUCUCUGUAUCUUUAUCAUGGCGAAUAAUGUAAUAUUACAAUUAUAUAGUUUGGACAAAAUCCUGAAGUUCAGUGUAAUUGGAAGCAAGUUCAAAAAAGUUUAAAAGUUGACAAAUAAGCCCUAGACUUUGCAAAAUUUCUGGUAGGAGAGAUAUUUAUGUUCUCGGUGUGACUGUCAAAUAACGAGACCCUCUAAUAAAAUUAUAUUAAACGAUCUAAUUUUGACCAACUUUAAAAUGGAUAUAUAUACUAAAAUUUUAUUAGAUAGGCGUGUGAUGACGUGGAUGUCAGCAUACUUGAAAUUUUUUCUAACAUCAAGAUUACAUAUGUGCCGCAUUAUUGUGUUGUUUCAAUUGAAUAUGUUUUGAGUGCAAUCCAAUUUGAAUGCAAUAUUGUGCAUCCUGUCGUUUCUUUUGGCUCCUGUGGCUGAAUUUAUCCUCCUGAUGUUAGCCUUGAAUGAAUAAUUGAAUAUGCCAUGGCUUUGUAUUUUCUUUGAUUGAAGGCUAAUGCCACACUCAUAAUACAAGCAAUGCAACGACCAUAAACUAUUUAUAAUAGCUUGAGUUUUGAACAUCAAGGAUUUUAAAUUUUCAGAGCAAUACUUGAAUAGCUUUUGCAUUAGUACGCACAAGGAGGAAAAUAGGAACAAGUUCAUCUUUUAAUUUGGGUGAUUGCCUGCUGGAAACAGCCUUGAGUCAUAGAGAGUGUACAAAUCUUUCAGUACAUAAUAUUCAUGUAGCAACAACAUAGCAGGCUAUAAUCAAAUACAUAAAAGCAACCUUGCAUUUUCCUUAUCAUUUACUGAAACAAGGAGAACGAAUUCUCUCUAUCGUGAUAGAAAUUUGUAUCCUUUCUUUUGCUUUUGUUGCAAGAAAAUAUUUUGGCUUUUGCUUAUAUUAGUGAUUCAGUUCUGUAAAUGCAACAAAAUCAGGAACAUAAUCCUAAGAAACACACAAGGGAAAGAAAAAAAAAAUGAAAAAGAAAGCUUAAGUACCAUUUACAAUUUGAAAUGUUGUUAAGCCCACAAGGUAGAACUCAAAUUUAGCUAUUGGAAUUUGCAACCUUGUUUUCAAAAAAAGAGUUGGCAAGCUUUUACAGCAACUUGAAUUCAGGAUGUGACUUCAGGUUUACAAUAAAAGAUAUUCUCAGUUCACAAAUGGCCACACUAAAUUAACAAACAUAUAGUAGAUCAUAGUGAUCAUCCGAAGUUUAUAGCUAAUUAGGUAUUUAUUUGAAUAAAGUACUGCAUCCCAACCCCAAGAGUGAGAUAGGCAGCAUUCCAGCGUCCAGAAUAUUUCAAACCUCAUUGCCUUUUUGGAGGGGUGUUUGCAAACCUCCACGAUGAUUUGUCAAAGAUAUCUGGGAAUCUGCCUCCAGCUACCUCUUCUAUCGGUACAGCAUCAGAAAUUUCUUUCAGAUCCUCUUUUGAAAGUUUUACUAUCAAGGAGCCAAUAUUUUCAUCCAGGUUCUUAAUCUUAGUUGUCCCUGAAACUCGAAGCAAAAUAACAGUAUCCAUUAAUGCAGGUAAUCUUAUCUUGAUAGGCUGGGUUUUUCUAAACUCUAU